rnacentral:lncRNA from 1 species
UUUACACAGACUUGUUGUUGUUGUUGUUACCCAUUGAUUCCCAAAACCCUAAUUGAAGUUCUCUCCUCCACACUAUAUAUUGCUUGUUUUGAGUGAGUCUAUCCCUUAAAGGCUCUCUCUUGCAGUCGCAGAGGAAAACCCUAGCUAGUAGUCUCAGUUCGUUUGAGAGAGAAAAAAUGGCAGAGGGUCUCGUUCUCCGCGGAACCAUGCGCGCCCACACCGACGUCGUGACGGCGAUUGCCACUCCCAUCGACAACUCCGACAUGAUCGUGACGGCGUCGCGCGACAAAUCCAUCAUUCUCUGGCACCUCACCAAGGAGGACAAGACCUACGGUGUCCCCCGCCGCCGCCUCACCGGACAUUCUCACUUCGUCCAGGACGUCGUCCUCUCAUCCGACGGUCAGUUCGCCCUCUCCGGCUCCUGGGACGGCGAGCUCCGCCUCUGGGACCUCGCGGCUGGCACCUCUGCCCGCCGCUUCGUUGGCCACACCAAGGACGUGCUCUCCGUGGCGUUCUCCAUCGACAACCGUCAGAUCGUGUCGGCCUCUCGUGACCGCACGAU